rnacentral:ncRNA from 19 species
UCUGUUAAAAUAAAAACGUUGCUCAAUUGCGAGUCAACCCUUGAGCCUUCUUCCCUUUGCUCAAGCAUAUUAAACGCGACAUUUUGUCGCCAAAGGAGAGUAUUUUG